rnacentral:sRNA from 1 species
UGGCAGUGUUUGCCGAUCGCUCGACCGC